GAUCUAUGAAAUAACGUAUUAAUACAUUUUGUGUUUUAAAUUAUCAUUGUUAGCCGGUCUGUGAACUGCUCAAUUACAUCACGUGUAGCUGGAAUGCAUAGAUUGUUUCAAUCAAUUGGCACUCGGUGCCUCUGGAACUUUCGUAAUGGAAGAAUUAUGUUGCCAGGCCAUUCGUAAGACGACCCUUGACGACCGAUUAUGAACUAUAAUCUGUUUACAAAGGCUGAUUUUAUCCGACUCAACGUUAUAUACGAGUCGUUUUGCUUUCAUCCCAAGAAAUGAGCAUCAUUAUCGAUAAUAUAUAUACAUUAUAAGUAUUCCGGAUCGAUAUUCAGAACAUAACAUCGAUAACAAUCUACUGACGCCACACAUCUAUUGCAGUAGUAUAAUCAUACUUAUGAAAUUUUAACAAAAUAUUUUCUUUAUUUCUCGCCAUAUGAAAAAAAAAAUUUGUAAAAUUUAAUAAUAUUGUAAUUGAAUAAAUAUUAGAUAUAAAAAAAUAAUAUUUAUGUAUUUUAUAUAUAAUAUAUAUAUAUAUGUAUAUAUUUAUUUAUUAUAUAUAUAUAUAUAAUAUAUAUAUGUACAUAUGGCAUCUACAUAGAAUAGUAUAUAAAAGAAAUAUAAAAUCAGGCUUAUAUUUUAUAUAUUUUAUUUUAUAUUUAAUUUUUUAUAAUAUUCAGCACACUGUAAAAUAAAUUCCUAAAUAAUAUUAUGUAAACUUUAAUCAAAAAGGAUUAAAUGGAAUUUAACCAACAGUUUAGGCUAUUAUUCAUAAAGAGUGAUAGUUGAACUCUGUCCAAUACUUAAACUAAAUUGAAGUAGAAUUGGUCUGUGGGAACGUUUAUCAUUAUAUAUGUAUAUGUUAACUUAAUAGCUAUUACCAACUAAUACUUUGAAGUUCCAUGCCCUUUCAUUUUUUAAAAUUUCACAAGCAAUUUUUUCUUAUAAUAAAAAUUAUACAAUCUUUAAACAAA